GUGACGAAAGGUGACGUUCGAUUGCACAGACGUCCAACGUUGUCCCUCCCGCCGCCAUGCGUAUUACGCUUGUUGUUGUUGAACUGGUUGUUAUGACUGGACAAGGCCUCGGACUAAAUUAGGACAGAACCCCUCGUCGCUGCCACGGGAGACCUGCCAAUGGAGGGCAUGGACAUAGACCUGGACCCGGAGUUCGUUCAGAAAUUCAACUGCAUGGGCACCACUGACAAGGACGUCCUCAUCUCAGAGUUCCAAAGACUGCUGGGGUUCCAGGUCAACCCGGCAGGAUGCGCUUUCUUCCUUGACAUGAGCAACUGGAAUCUACAGGCAGCCAUCGGUGCCUAUUAUGAUGUUGAGAGUCCCAGCAUCAACACACCAGCCAUGUCCUUUGUGGAGGAUGUGACGAUUGGUGAGGGAGAGUCUGUUCCCCCCGACACACCGUUCACAAAGACCUGGAGGAUACAGAACACAGGUGCAGAUUCCUGGCCACCUGGGGUAUGUCUGAAGUACAUUGGAGGGGACCAGUUUGGCCACGUCAACAUAGUGAUAGUGCGCUGUCUAGAACCCCAGGAGAUCUCAGACGUCAGUGUGCAGAUGCGUAGCCCUGCAGCGCCCGGCAUGUACCAGGGCCAAUGGAGGAUGUGCACACCCACAGGGCUGUUUUAUGGAGACGUCAUCUGGGUGAUCCUCAGCGUGGAGGUGGGUGGCCUUUUGGGCGUGACACAGCAGCUUUCCUGCUUCGAGACGGAGUUCAACACCCAGCCGCACCGCAACGUAGAGGGAGACUUCAACCCUUUUGCCUCGCCACAGAAGAGCAAACACGACGCCGGAGAUGACAACAACUUCAAAGAGCCUGGAGGAGCCUGGAAGGGCAGGCAGGACGCCAUCCAGCAAGAUGAAAACGGACUGUCUCACAAUGCUGUAAAUAGAGCAUCGAAUGGGCUACAAAACAAUCUAUCAGUAGUGACUUACAGUCAGGCUGACUCAUCGCCAUCAGUCCCAGGGUCCCUAGCUUGGUGAUGAGCCUGGAGGGGACUAUGGUGUUGAACGCUGACCUGAAGUCUGAGUUAUUUCCCCUCUUAUCCAGGGUGUUCAUGGACCUUAUCCGUUAGGCCAGAGUUAGACAGAUGGAGACCCAGGCCAGGUGGUGCUGAACAGACCUGGGCAUGCUGAUGCUGACCUGCGGCAGGGGCACUGGAGAGGGGAGGGAUACAUAUUUCAUACAGACUCUAGACAACUCUCUCCCUUGGGCCCUACCCCAUUCCACCAAAACACAAGCUACAGUGAGAACAAGGAGGCACCUAUCCCAGUGAACACCCUACCAGCAUUAUCAGAACCCUCCCAAGAUCGGCAUGAGUGAAUGCUACAUAAAGAAUGCUAUCAAUCCUAAGUUCUACUACAUACAUGUUUUAUUAUUAUUUUUAGCUGUCAACACACCUCAUUAGUGUAGGGUAGGCACUGCUGGUUGAGCUUAGCAAAAGGAUGGAUGUGAGUGAGCUUGAGCAAAUGAAAUGUGUGAGAAAAAGCCAUCUAAAACUAUUUUGCCUGUUGAGCUAUUAUUGUAGGAUUUGAAUCCAUGUCUGUGUUUUCUGAAUUGUGCAUGUGUGCACGUGUAUAGUUUCCUUUUGGAUUUUACUAAACACAAAGUGGUGGAUACAACUUUGGUAAAGAAGUUGUGGUGACCUAUAUAUGUAGGCCAGGUAGGUUAUGUAUCUAAAUAGAUGAAACAAAAUAAUACUAAUAUAAAAAAUUAUAAUUCUCCACAGGUGUUUCAGAAAUUAGGAUACAGACCUGUGAAUGAGUUGCCCCGUAAAUAAGCCUUUGCUGUACUGUACUUACGACACAGAUAUGGAUCAUUCAGUGGUAAAGCUUGUUCUUUAGAGCCAGCAGAUGGUGCUAUUAACUAAACAACCAAACCAAAUGGUCUCUGACACAUCACGACAGACAUUGAAAAAUAGACUUCCCUUUCCCAUCAUAGGGAGAGGUAUUUAAAUUCUGGGUUUGUGACUGCUCAAGCCAUUGACAAUAUCAGCACCGUUUGUUUUGUAUCUGCAGUUUGCACGAUGUCACUUCAGAUGUUUACAAGUGGUGAUUUUGAUUUAGUUUCUGUAUGCUGUCUGGAUCUAGAUAUUAUUGUCUGUUGUAAUAGUAUAUAUUUUCCUUGUUUUAGUUUUCUUCCAAACUUGACAACGUUGAGUCCCGUUUUGAUUGUCAAAUUAAGUGGAGCGGGUACAUACGCUCAAAAGGACAGGUUCAACCCUGGAAUUCAUUAAUUCCUCUGCGUCAAAGUGGAACGCUCUAUUAAGAGAUGUAGUCAUAUUAAUUAUUGUUUACAAUUACAUGGUAUCAACCAAGUUAACAUCAUGUUAUGCAAUUUGUUUCCCAUUUGGAAUGUUAUUUUAAUUUAUUUUAUUUACCGUCACGUUCUUCAAGCAAUGAAGAUUUCUUCGCUUCCAAUGUUUCACAAUUUCCACAAGGUUAUGAGUAAAUGAAAAACAAGGAAAUUGAUGACAGUUGUUAUUCAUAGACUAAAGAUCUUGUAGAUGCUCAUACAAGAUUCUUAUCUUAUGGUUUCUUCUGAUGGAAAGUCCCUGUUUUCUUGUGGCUGUUGUGCUUUCACACCAGACUUUCAUAUUUCUGUAUUUGUCAAGGGUAUUAUGUUAGUCCUCUGUGUUCACUGUUCUGCAUUUUACUCUGAAACCAGAGAGUGUUUAAUUCUUAGCUUUAUUGCGUUUUUUUUAUUUUGGUGGUGGGGGGUGCAGUUUUAAGCAAGGUGGUAUGGUGAGUGGCGCAUUUGCAUAGUCUUAUGAUAGAACAUUCAUGAGAAGAGAAAAUGUCAAAUUAAAGCCUUUUUCCUAUAUGUAUAAAUGAACAUUUGUAUGAUUAAAUUAACACUGAAAC